AUUGAGUCUGGACCCGCACUCAAAGAAGAGUCCAGUGAUGCUAUUUUCAGCUCGACCAGUUUGCGUUACCUGGACGUGGGAUGGACGUUUUCUAUCUAAAGAAAAUUAUGAGGAAUUUCGUUGUUGAAAUUAUCAUUUGAUUCGAUAUUUAUUUAAAAAAUACUCAACACAGGAAGAAACGAGUUCUCUUUGAUUGAGCAUGGACCUUUGAGGUCGCAAUUCUCCAAGAAUAAUAUGGCUGACGAUGGCUGAUGUAAAGAAGAAGGAAAAAAAAAUUUUAAAAAGGGGUAUACAUAUAAAGAUAUUGGUAAAGAAGACAAGAAGCAAUGGGGUCGUUGUGUUUCACGAUCUUUGUGACUUGGUUCAGCAAAAAGACUGUUAGGCUUGAUAGGACUGCAGACUCCGCAAGUGGAUAUACAUAUAUAUACAUUGUAGGUAUAUAUAGAUAUGUUUUUAUGUACACACGAGUAACGAACCUGUAAAGAAAAACAGUCUGGUCUCAGUAUAAAAAAAAAAAAAAAAAUUAAACAUUUUUUUAAAGUUGUUUACUACCUGGCUCAGUCUUGGAAGGUGGCGAUAAAUAACCGUGCUCGUGCCUUUUGCAUCUUUUUAUAUUUUUUUCAUUGGGAAACCAGGCUAAACUUAGCUUGUGCAAUUCCUUCAAGGUAUCAUCAUUAUAAUCUUCGUUUUCUUCUUCUUCUUCUUCUUCUUCACGUUCUUCUUCACCUUCAUGAUCAUCAUCAUCUUCUUCA